UGGGAACUGCAUUGGUGACUGGCAGGCUAGAGUAUGGCAGAGGGGGGUAGAAUUCCACGUGUAGCAGUGAAAUGCGUAGAGAUGUGGAGGAAUACCGAUGGCGAAGGCAGCCCCCUGGGCCAAUACUGACGCUCAUGCACGAAAGCGUGGGGAGCAAACAGGAUUAGAUACCCUGGUAGUCCACGCCCUAAACGAUGUCAACUAGUUGUUGGGGAUUCAUUUCCUUAGUAACGUAGCUAACGCGUGAAGUUGACCGCCUGGGGAGUACGGUCGCAAGAUUAAAACUCAAAGGAAUUGACGGGGACCCGCACAAGCGGUGGAUGAUGUGGAUUAAUUCGAUGCAACGCGAAAAACCUUACCUACCCUUGACAUGGUCGGAAUCCUGAAGAGAUUCGGGAGUGCUCGAAAGAGAACCGGCGCACAGGUGCUGCAUGGCUGUCGUCAGCUCGUGUC
rnacentral:rRNA from 1 species